CAGUCAUACCAACGGGAAAUCAACCUUUUGAGCUCGGUCUCGUGGGUUUUGAAGAGUUUCAAAGCCUUCGGAUUCGCGGGAUUGGGAUCUCUCGGUGUACUUUUUCGUACGGUUAGUCAACAUCGGUUUUGAAUGUCAUAAAAUGAUUGGGGGAAUGUAGCUUCGAUCUCGUAUUGAAGUGUCAUAGCCUUUGGUAGAUGUGAUGUUUGAGACCGAGGAUUGCAACGGAUACCCUUCAGGGCUAUUCGUCUGAUCUCUGAUACGUUGCCCUGAUGUUGAAAGCUUGCUUAUGAUGUUAGGGUAUUACGGUCAAAAGGUUAGAACGAAUUACA
rnacentral:rRNA from 1 species